rnacentral:rRNA from 1 species
UACGUAGGGUGCAAGCGUUAAUCGGAAUUACUGGGCGUAAAGCGUGCGCAGGCGGUUUUGUAAGUCUGUCGUGAAAUCCCCGGGCUCAACCUGGGAAUUGCGAUGGAGACUGCAAGGCUAGAAUCUGGCAGAGGGGGGUAGAAUUCCACGUGUGAGCAGUUGAAAAUGCGUAGAGAUGUGGAGGAACACCGGUGGCGAAGGCGACAUCCUGGACCAACACUGACGCUGAGUGAGCGAAAGCCAGGGGAGCAAAACGGG